rnacentral:tRNA from 1 species
GGGCCGUUAGCUCAGUUGGUAGAGCAGCUGGCUUUUAACCAGCGGGUCGGAGGUUCGAGUCCUCCACGGCUCACCA